UUGUAAAAUCAAUCAAUUUUAUUAAACAUUAACAUUCUGAUCUUCAACAAGAAGAACUCGUACAUAUGCAACCAGCGCAUGUCACUUUACAUCCCAAAAACAAUUUUUAAUUAUAAAAACAUAUUUAUUAACAAAUGUAUCAUAAAUUUUCUGUCAUAAAAUAAUCUCGUACUUAUUCUAAUAAAAAUACAAGAAGAAAUAAUGUAUUUAACCUGUAAACGCGCAAAUAAUAAAAUAUAGAGAACAACAAAUGAUAGUUAAAUACUAAAGUAAAAUAAAAAUAAUAGACAGGGCAAUACUGAAUGAUAAAACCCGAAGCUAUGCAAAGUUGGUUAUAUAAACGUUAAAACAAGAUGCAGUUGAGUAGUCAAAAUGAUUUAAAAACAAAUCAGUCUUUUUAUGAGCCUUAAAAUACAUUGGGAUGAUUUCUAAAUUGGGAAAAUUAUCAAAUACAGUAGCGUACCAGCAAAAUUAGCUGUGACUAUGUUCAUUUCUAUACUAAAUAGGCCUCGGAAAUCUAAAUUACAGUGCGUUACGUUUGAAUUAGGUACAUACGUAAAAACUGGCAACAUUGUACAGUAACAGUCAACGUAUAAUGAUUACAAGAUGCAUUUUUGAGGUUAUGUUCGUAAAAUGUAUGCAGUUACAACCAUUUUGACAGCUAUCACGUGGUUUAUGUGCCUGAUUUGCAGUUUUAUCGGGAAUAGACAGAUUCUUGAAAUACAAUAAAUUUAUUAAACGAAAGAUCAGCGGAGUACCUUUGUUAAACCUCCUGUAUUACUAAUUCAACUUGAGGCACUGUAAUUAGUAAUAUUUUCAUAUUGCUAAUAUAAAACGAUAUAAUGGUGGUGUACUGUUGGUUAACCACCUUUUUUAGUUACAACUAAUUUUAUCCAAUAUUGAGCUCUUGGUAGAUUGAAAUUCACAGUUCCCUCUCAGAAUAACAUACAAGCAAGUCAUCUAUGAACCAAUUUCAUUUGAGUUAAUCGAAUACCACUCUGUGAUAGGUAAAGUGUUAUCAAUACAUUAUUCAAAACCAAACCCACGUUAACAACUUCGAUCACUAUGAUUUCAUCACUCAUAAGAAGUAUCUAGGAAUGUAUUUAUACAUAGAACGGAUUUAGGCACAUCAAACAAACAAGCAUUUACAACAUAUACACAGACAAUGUAAGAAACAUGUAAUCGAUCAAUCAAGAAACAUUUUUAUUCGAUGUGGUAGGCCCGGGAAAGGAUUAUACGUAUACGCGCCAUUUAUAAGGUGCGCACGGUCGAGUUGAAGCUAGGGGCGACUCAGUAACUUCUCCUGGGACAUGUGUAGACUAGGAACGAAUAAAAAAACUGCUAAGAAGUUCAAUUUGGAAAAGGUUUGAGUAUCUGUUGAAACAAAACAAAAAAGCUCUAGAGGCGUUAAAGUCUAUCCAAAAGCCUCAAAUAAACGCUUUAAUUCUAAAAGAAGCAGGGUAUCCACAAAAAGAUCUUGCAGGUGAUACCACAUAGAUCUCUUUAGCCUUUUCCCGCAUGUGAGGGUAUGCCGUAGAGAUCAUCAAUUCCCCAGCUUCUUGUGGGGCAAGAAUAGAAUAGGAACAGAACAGAAAACCGUGGUAGAGCUCAACAUUGGCCGAAAAAUGUCCAAAGGGUGUGCAUUUGUGGUGCUUAGACGAAAAGGUUUGAGUAUCUAUUGAAAGAAGCCAAACGAGACUAGGUGCAAGUCUACUUGAAAGGCGCAAACAAAUAUAGAUGGAGAGUAUACCCAAUUCCUGGUAUCAGGCGACACCAGUUAGGUUUCUUUAGCCUUCUCAAGCUUGUGCAGUUAUGCCCGUAGUGACUAUCCCUGUUCCAGCUUCUUAGAUGACAAUAUUUGAGUAUCUGUUGAAAUAUGCCACACGAGACUCGACACUAGGCGUUAAAGUUUAUCUGACAGGCGCAUACAAAUAUAGAUGGAGAUUUAUCACAAUUCCUGGUAUGAGGCGAUACCAGUUAGGUUUCUUUAGCCUUCUCAAGCUUGUGCAAUUAUGCCCGUAGUGACUAUCCCUAUUCUAGCUUCUUCUGAGGCAAGAAUAGACUAGGAACAAACAACAAAAACCUAAUAGAGCUCAAUAUGGACCGAAAAAUGUCCAAAGGAUGUGCAUUUGUGGUGCUUAGUAGAGUAUAUUUGAGUACCUGUUGAAAUAAGCCAAACGAGACUCUACACUAGGCCUUAAAGUCUAUCUGACAGGCGCAAACAAAUAUAGAUGGAGAUUUAUCACAAUUCCUGGUAUCAGGCGACACCAGUUAGGUGUCUUUAGCCUUCUCAAGCUUGUGCAAUUAUGCCCGUAGUGACUAUCCCUAUUCUAGCUUCUUCUGAGGCAAGAAUAGACUAGGAACAAACAACAAAAACCUAAUAGAGCUCAAUAUGGACCGAAAAAUGUCCAAAGGAUGUGCAUUUGUGGUGCUUAGUAGAGAAUAUUUGAGUACUUGUUGAAAUAAGCCAAACGAGACUCUACACUAGGCCUUAAAGUCUAUCUGACAGGCGCAAACAAAUAUAGAUGGAGAUUUAUCACAAUUCCUGGUAUCAGGCGACAGCAGUUAGGUUUCUUUAGCCUUCUCAAGCUUGUGCAAUUAUGCCCGUAGUGACUAUCCCUAUUCUAGCUUCUUCUGAGGCAAGAAUAGACUAGGAACAAACAACAAAAACCUAAUAGAGCUCAAUAUGGACCGAAAAAUGUCCAAAGGAUGUGCAUUUGUGGUGCUUAGUAGAGAAUAUUUGAGUACUUGUUGAAAUAAGCCAAACGAGACUCUACACUAGGCUUUAAAGUCUACCUGACAGGCGCAAAUAGAUAUAGAUGGGGAGUUGCACAAUUCCUGGUAUCAGGUAGCACCACCUAGGUUUUUUAGCCUUCUCAAGCGCAUGUAGGCAUGCUGGUAGUGGAUAUUCAUGUCCUAGUCAUGUCUUGUAUGGUAAAAAUAGACUAGGAACAAACAAAAAAACCACGAUACAGCUCAACAUGGACCGAAAAAUAUCCAAAGACUGAGCAUUUGUGGUCAAUUAGGUUUCUUUAGCCUUCUCAAGCAUGUGCGCGUAUUCCGGUAGUCACUCUCAACACUAGAACAACAUGAACUAAACAAUGUUUAAAAAAAUGAGCAUUUGUGAUGAUUAGAGGAAAAAGUUUGAGCAUGUGUUCAAAUAAGUCAAGUGAGACACGACACUAGGCGUCAAAGUCUAUCCCGAAAGGUACAAGCAAACAAAAAUGUAAGGCAAGGUAUACCCAGAAAAUCUUCAAAGUCACAGUGUAGAAGUGUAAAGGAGACCAAACGAUACCUUUAUCUACAAAAUUUGUAUUGCUGGUACCAACAAUGACUGGAUAUAAGCAAAUUGUACUUAGUUAUAUAAUCAGACAAGCGAGUAAGUAGCCCCUAAAAAUCAGUUACACGUUGUCAAGAGUAGACAAUAGAGAGAAUAGUUCAGUUGUACUUGUAUCAUCAACUAGAAGAAGGUCCUAGUAUCAUGAGUUUUUCAGUGUUGUCAAGUAUUUAAAUAUUUUUUCAAACAAACAGAUGAACUUCUAGAUUUAAAAACUUUUUUCAUACUAAAAUAAAAACUUUUUUGAAUAUCUUCAUUUUAACAUUUGUGCUAUACAUAUUUACAACAAGAUCAUGAAACACUAAGUGAUAUGUUAAAUCAGUUUAUUUCAUUUUUGUAGCACUUGUUUUUUUUUUCGAUGUUUUUAUCUGUUUAUUCAUUUACUUGACCUCACUUUUUUUCUGCCAAAGAUAUUUACUCAUAUUAUAUUUACCCAUACAAAAAUAUUGGACUGUCUUAUCUCGAUGGAGACUAUAAAGGCACACACUGAAAAGGAGAGAACACGAACUCCAAACACAACAUCCUAUCACUACUACAGUAUAAAAUGGUAAGCUACUUAUUAUACGUAACAAUCAAGGGAAGGUCUAAAUCUGAAAAUAUUUUUUUAGCUAAUGUGCCACUGUACAUAAAUUUUUUGCGAAAGUCGAUUUACAAAAAAGAACUAUUAAUCCAGAGGAAGACUUUGUUAAAUUUUUGUAAAUCCCCUGUGAUAUAUUUUUACAUUAUUGAUAUUUACAAUGUGUAUAGUAGGGUUUUAGCUGGAAAAGUCUGCAAAAUAUCCAACGAGUAUAGAACAAUUAGAAAAAACACAACAGUAACUUGUAAGAGGCGAUUUUAGUAGAAUAUUGACUGCGCAUGCGCAAUAUCAUAUGCGCCACGUAGUCAAUGUCGAAUGGCCUUUCGAAAUAUCCAUCACUUAAGACAAAAUGUGGAAGACAACUGGAGACUUUCGAAAUAAACAUUUUUAAAAAAUGAGUUGAAGUAUGCCGCAGAGAAAGAAUUCGCAUAGUCCAGAAAGCAACUGCGCA